GAGGCCGUAGUGUAGCUUGGAACAUCACUCCAGCCCGGGGUGCUGGCAACCGGGGUUCGAAUCCUCGCGGCCUCA
rnacentral:tRNA from 1 species